GUUGAUGUCUCUGAAUGUUCUCAAAUUAUUGGGUUCUUCUCAGGAGAUAUCCAUCUCAUUUUUUUUAUACUUAUUUAUUAUUUGUUCUAGAAAUAUGAAGCACACGUACAACAUGUGCAUUUGGAAUUCCCUAACAAUCCAGACCAACUUCUACACUGGAGACUGGGGGAUGAUACCAUCGCAUCUUGUGAAGGCAAGAUACUAGUUGGCAUCUCCAUACUCCCUCUUAUCUGCUGGCAAGGCCAGGGAGAUAGGAACAAAAGGUGUUCCUGCUGAGAUCCAAAUGCCAGAAGCUGUCAUUCCAA
ensembl:lncRNA